UGGUGCUUGAGCUGUUUCUUUUGCUCUUUUUUUCAGGUGGAAAGAGUCAGCACAUCUCUCUUACCUACAGUACAGCUGGCUCUCUGAUCUGCACUUAAUCUGACCCAAGAUAGCUGUAAGCAGGUGGGAAGCACCUCAGGUUUUGUAGAUCCUGUCAGCUUGGGCCUCCAACUGUUUGCACAUAUAUCUAAAAGGCUAAGAUAUUUUAUACUGACAUUACUAAAAUAAGAUCUGAAAUGCUGUGAUAGUUCAGGUGCCAGCUAAGCCAGUUUCAGUUUGUGAAAACUUCAGAAGUGGCUGAAGCAACAGCUGUACAGGAUAAAUCCCUCUUUUGGAUCCUGCUGUCAGACCAGCCAGACACAGCAGCAGCAGCUGUCCCUCGAGGCCACUCGGAGUAGAAGGAGACCUUUGUUCAGGCAACAUCCACCAGCCAGCUGUUCACCGCAUCCUGAAAAAAAAGGCUGACUGGGGCUGAAAUCUGGUUUUACUAUAACCUAAAUGCCCUUCAAACACUGGGGCUGUAGCAAAAUGACCUGUGACAGCUUUUCUGUUACUCAGUUGCCUGGCAUCGGGAGGUGAGAGUACAUGUGAAGUGCUUGUGCAAGCUCAGGUUCUGCCGUGGAAUCACACAGUGCACGUGGGAUUGAGAAAGACAGGAGAGAGCCUCAAGACAUGAGUUUCUGCUGUGUUAACAGGAAGAGGAGAUGAAGGUAAAACAAAAUCCUCUGGU
rnacentral:lncRNA from 1 species